rnacentral:rRNA from 1 species
AUUGAACGCUGGCGGCAUGCUUUACACAUGCAAGUCGAACGGUAACAGGGUGCUUGCACCGCUGACGAGUGGCGAACGGGUGAGUAAUGCGUCGGAACGUGCCGAGUAGUGGGGGAUAACGCAGCGAAAGUUGUGCUAAUACCGCAUACGUACUGAGGUAGAAAGUGGGGGACCUUCGGGCCUCACGCUAUUCGAGCGGCCGACGUCUGAUUAGCUAGUAGGUGAGGUAAAGGCUCACCUAGGCGACGAUCAGUAGCGGGUCUGGGCGGAGGAUCCGCCACACUGGGACUGAGACACGGCCCAGACUCCUACGGGAGGCAGCAGUGGGGAAUUUUGGACAAUGGGCGAAAGCCUGAUCCAGCCAUGCCGCGUGUCUGAAGAAGGCCUUCGGGUUGUAAAGGACUUUUGUCAGGGAGGAAAUCCCUAGUGCUAAUAACACUGGGGGAUGACAGUACCUGAAGAAUAAGCACCGGCUAACUACGUGCCAGCAGCCGCCGUAA